CCCUGAGCUAGCCCAAUAAGAAUGUGUGUCAGCUGGUUGAAGAACAGCUUGAAGCCAGCUUAUCAGAACGCCAGUGAAGAGCCCUAAGCUGUAUUGAAGCAUCAGACCCAUGUGAAAGAUUCAGAAUGAUCAAGAUUGCACUGCACCAGGGCUUGAGGAGGAUUGCCUCUAUAAAAGGAAGCUGGCUGGAUUCAACAGAGAUUUUUUCUUUUGUUUCAUUUUAAAUAUAAAUUUUGGAGAAGAUCAAAGCAACACCAGCCUCCAAAAUAUUGAGACUUUCAGGAGGAUGGAUAGAAUUCAAGUCCGUUUUCUCAGGAAUAAAUCCCACUGGAUUCUAUGGGGAUCAUCCCAGAAUUGCACCUGGAGAAUGCUAGGGCAGAAACAGGAUUCCCAGGGCAAUAGAGUAAGAAACUCAGAUUUCUGCAAAUAAACUUUAUAGAUGUUU